UUCUGUUAAAUAGGUGCUCUGGAACAUGACAGUACCAUUUUUUAUGUGAACUAAUGCUUAUGAUGCGUCCUGAUUCCAAUUAAGUUUCAUAAAGUUGAGCUCCAAACCAGCUUAGAUGGUGUUUACUGCAACCUGCAAAUUAGGCUGUCUAUCGACCAAUUUUAAGUUGCCUAAAUUUUCUAAUUCAGGGAAUUAAGUUGCAUAACUCUAGUGCCUUGGAUAUUUAAGCAACUCAAUAGUAAUGUCGGGCAUCACUUGUGUUAGUAACUUGAAGCAAUUAGGUGAUUCUUUUUGGCAGUGUUGGGUGAUUCAGUUUGUGACACACAAACUCUGGUUACUAUACUGCAUCAGGAAAAAAGUAGACCAAUAAAGAAAUGCGCUGUUAAGGUGACUGACAGCAAACCAAUAGAUUCGGCUGACUUUGUGAACCUGUUGUUUUACCGAAUGUCACACCUAAUUUCUGCAAGAUAUGGCUUUGCUGGUCUGAGUAUUGUUAUCACUUAUUUGUUGGUGUUCUUAUAGCACAUUUGCUGAUUUUGUGUCUAUAUGUAUGUGCUUCCUUUUAAACUGACGAAAUUGUUCUAAGCACACUUCUCAUCCAACUAUCCUUAAUCCAAAUAUUCUUUCUCUACUAAAGUGAGAAUCCAGUUAUCCUUUAUCUUCUCGAAAAAGAUAUUUGAUUUAUUUGCUUCUUGUAUCAACCUGAAAAUUUUCUUUUUUAUCUUCUCGUAAACUAUCUUUCUGGCUCACCUGGCAGAUCUCUGAAGUUUGGUCAUUGACUAUUCUGAAGGAGAAUGCUGGUGUUGAGGUUGAGGUUCAUCGUCUUGGAUGUCACCGUCAUUUUGGUCCCGCUUGCCGUUGACAACACCAGGUUCAGCACCAAGGAUCUAGCUUGCUCACACCACCAUUAUCUUCUCCGCCCUGUGUGUGGUUCUUCGAGCUCUGAGCAGUCCGAUGGCAGAGCUGGUGGCCACCAUAGUGGUUGGACCGCUGCUGUCCAUUGUGAAGCAGAAGGUAUCCAGCUACCUGCUGGAGAAGUACAAGGUGAUGGAGGAGCGAGCGGCACAGGGUGCUCAAGCGCAAGCUGCGCACCUUCCUGGACGUCAUCGCUGAUGCCGAGCAGGCUGCACCUACAAGGCAAACGAGGUCUUCGACAAGUUCAAUUACAAGGCGCUAGGCCAAGAAGAAUGGGCACUACAGCAAGUUUGGCUUGGAUGCAGUGAAACAUUUUUUUUGCCCCAUGUGUUUUCAAUGAAAUGAUUGGAAUUUGUCUAUGGGCCAAUUUGCCUGCAGUUGGUAAAGAUCAUAGAAUGGUAAAGCAAAAUCAGGCUCUGGUGGAGCCUAUGCAAACAAUGAUGUUUGUUACUCGAGAGAGAAUCGUCAACUCUAGAUGUUUGGUUACUUGGAUAUGUAAAUGGCAGAAACCAUAAGGGCAUGUACAAUGGUUGAUAAGAUAGUUUUAUCUCAA